GACGAACGCUGGCGGCGUGCUUAACACAUGCAAGUCGAGCGGUAAGGCCCUUUCGGGGGUACACGAGCGGCGAACGGGUGAGUAACACGUGGGUGACCUGCCCUCAGCUCUGGGAUAAGCCUGGGAAACCGGGUCUAAUACUGGAUAUGACUCCAUGACGCAUGUUGUGGGGUGGAAAGCCUUGUGCGGCUGAGGAUGGGCCCGCGGCCUAUCAGCUUGUUGGUGGGGUGANGGCCUACCAAGGCGACGACGGGUAGCCGGCCUGAGAGGGCGACCGGCCACACUGGGACUGAGACACGGCCCAGACUCCUACGGGAGGCAGCAGUGGGGAAUAUUGGACAAUGGGCGCAAGCCUGAUCCAGCCAUGCCGCGUGAGUGAUGAAGGCCCUCGGGUCGUAAAG
rnacentral:rRNA from 1 species